rnacentral:rRNA from 1 species
CCUACGGGUGGCAGCAGUCGAGAAUCAUUCACAAUGGGGGAAACCCUGAUGGAGCGACGCCGCGUGGGGGAAUGAAGGUCUGCGGAUUGUAAACCCCUGUCAUGUGGGAGCAAAUUAAAAAGAUAGUACCACAAGAGGAAGAGACGGCUAACUCUGUGCCAGCAGCCGCGGUAAUACAGAGGUCUCAAGCGUUGUUCGGAGUCACUGGGCGUAAAGCGUGCGUAGGCGGUUUCGUAAGUCGGGUGUGAAAGGCGCGGGCUCAACCCGCGGACGGCACAUGAUACUGCGAGACUAGAGUAAUGGAGGGGGAACCGGAAUUCUCGGUGUAGCAGUGAAAUGCGUAGAUAUCGAGAGGAACACUCGUGGCGAAGGCGGGUUCCUGGACAUUAACUGACGCUGAGGCACGAAGGCCAGGGGAGCGAAAAGGAUUAGAUACCCCAGUAGUC